rnacentral:rRNA from 1 species
CCUACGGGAGGCAGCAGUGGGGAAUUUUGGACAAUGGGGGAAACCCUGAUCCAGCAAUGCCGCGUGUGUGAAGAAGGCCUUCGGGUUGUAAAGCACUUUUGGCGGGAACGAAACGGCGCUGGUUAAUACCUGGCGCUAAUGACGGUACCCGCAGAAUAAGCACCGGCUAACUACGUGCCAGCAGCCGCGGUAAUACGUAGGGUGCAAGCGUUAAUCGGAAUUACUGGGCGUAAAGCGUGCGCAGGCGGUUUUGUAAGACGGAUGUGAAAUCCCCGGGCUCAACCUGGGAACUGCAUUCGUGACUGCAAGGCUAGAGUAUGUCAGAGGGAGGUGGAAUUCCGCGUGUAGCAGUGAAAUGCGUAGAGAUGCGGAGGAACACCGAUGGCGAAGGCAGCCUCCCGGGAUAAUACUGACGCUCAUGCACGAAAGCGUGGGGAGCAAACAGGAUUAGAUACCCUGGUAGUCCACGCCCUAAACGAUGUCAACUAGUUGUCGGGUCUUAAUUGACUUGGUAACGCAGCUAACGCGUGAAGUUGACCGCCUGGGGAGUACGGCCGCAAGGUUAAAACUCAAAUGAAUUGACGG